GGCUCCAUCGUCUAGUGGCCGAGGACGCCGCCCUUUCAAGGCGGAAACGGGGGUUCGAUUCCCCCUGGAGCUACCA
rnacentral:tRNA from 1 species